rnacentral:piRNA from 1 species
UAACUGGGGGAUCCAUUAAUGAUCAAAU